rnacentral:rRNA from 1 species
AGCCAUGCAUGCCUCCGAUAGAAGAGCAAGUCUCUCUGAAUCUGCGAACGGCUCCGCAUACCAGUUGUAAACCAUAGCAAGCUAACCGUGCCGCCGCCGCAAGGUGGAUCGGUACGGUUUAGAAGGAUAUCCGUGGUAAUUCUGAGGCUAAUACAAGAACGUAAAACCGGCUUGACCCGCGAGGGGAUGGUCGGCGGUCGUGCAAGCUGAAACACGAGGUGCACAAGGAAUGGCGGCAUGAUCAGACCACCGAAAAAAGACAGUCUCGCGCAAACCCGGCUCAGGUCGGGCGAGUGCGGGUCUGGGUGGCUCUUGCUUCGUGCUUCUGACCUAUCAACUAGAUGGCAGCGUAAGGGACAUGCUAUGGUUACAACGGGUACAGAGGAUAAGGGUUCGAUCCUGGAGAGUGGGCCUGAGAGAUUGCUCACACUUCUAAGGAAGGCAGCAGGCGCGCAACGUUCCCAUUGGGCAAAGCUCGAGGGCGUUAGGGGACAUAUGAAUGCCCGCCUUAGGGUGGGCAAUUCAAAUGGGACCGUUUUAAACAUCCCAUCGAGUAACAAUUAGAGGACAAGUCUGGUGCCAGCACCCGCGGUAAUUCCAGCUCUAAUAGCAUACGUUAAAGUUGUUGCGGUUAAAACGCUCGUAGUCGGCAUAAGACCUUCAUAGCCUUGAUACGGGAAACUGGGCCAGCUGCUCUUCGUUGAGCGCGCCAGCUACUAUUGAUGGGGGACGUCGGUCAAUCGCGCCUAAAGCUGUUACGGGCAACCGUAUCACAGGAUCCGUUUCCGCACGCGCCUUUCAAGUGGCCGUGUGACUCGGGUUCGGCUUGGACGCCACUCACCAUGAUUAAACUGUAGCGAUCAAAGCACGUCGCCUAAACUCGACGGGUACAGCACAGCAUGGUACGAAACGCACGGAAUCCGCCUUAACUUCGGGGGUAAAGGAUUCGUACGUAGAAGCGAUAGGGAUGCUCGAGGGUGACAGAAUUGCUGGGCGAGUGGUGAAAUACGUUGACCCUAGCAAGUCUACCAAAGGCGAAAGCAGUCAUCAAGGGCGUCUCCUUCGAUCAAGAGCGAAAGUUAAGGGUUCGAAGACGAUCAGAUACCGUCGUAGUCUUAACUAUAAACGAUGCAAACCAGGGAUAGGACAGUGUCCAUCUCGACUCCUCCUGGACCUUGGAGAAAUCAAAGUCUUGGGUCUGGGGGA